UUUUUUUUUACCGCAAGAAAUUACAAGAAAUCGCUUUUUGGUGUCGUAAAAUCUAAAAUUGUGUGACAAAAAGUGUUGCGUAAGGUUUCUGUGUUCAAUCGACACGAUCACAUGGAGCUUCUGACAGAAAAGUCAAUGUCAGAAAUGCAAAUGCCGCAUUUACAUAAUCUCCUUUGUCCAUGGAGCCCUGGUUCUACUUCGAGUCUCUUGUGGACGUCGGAACUUGUGACCACAGAUUUCAGCACCUGAAGUCGGACAGCGUGCUCGUGCUUCCUCUUCAUGUCGUUGAUGUGCCACGCCACUCUCUGCAUGGUGUCGAUGGCCUCCUGCACCACCUCGAACGUCUCUGUGUCCUUCUCCAUGUGGUUGGCGAUCUCCUGCACACAUCACACGUAAAGCUCCUCCUCAAAAAGUGAUCCCUGCAACUAACCAGUAGCAAAGAAAACUGUGGUUUCAUCCUGCUCCUCUCCUCCAUGGCUGCCAUCCCUAUUGUCAUCUCCUUCACGCCUCAGCUCCUACAAGUGACCUCUCGGCAGGGUCGGCUUCCAGCAGCAGGUGAAAGAUCGUGACCUCCGGCACAAAGACCUGCUGCCCUCCUCAUCUCUGCAGCCUCCAGCACGGAUUUGGAAAACAAGGACGGAUCGAAUCUCUCAACAAGUUGAUCUGUAAGAGGAUUUAAGAAACACAGAGGAAAUAAGGAAUUGUGAUGACUGAAAGUCAGUCUAGAAUUUAAGCUGCUUGAGCAGAGCCUGUUUAAUUUGUUGGAACCGAGUGAAAAGUAUUUCCAACAUUCAUGUUAUUCCGUAAGACUUAAUUUACCCACCGCAGCAGUAAAUACACCGUCAUGAAGCCAGAACACGGCGACAGCUCGACUAUAGAGAACUCAGCCGUAAACGCUGGACCACAAUGGCUUUACGAGCCGAGCGGAAGACAGUAAAUCAGCGUACACCCUUCUACUGACAGUAGAGGAGGCGAGUCGGUUUGAUGUGAGGCGGUUUACUGUUACAGGGCGUCGCACCGCCGAGGAGGCGGGUGUGGUGGGAAGGUGCUGAGGUCAUGUGAUCUCAAGUUACUUUCACAUGAGAUAUCAAAUUGGGUGGAAAACCUGCUGUGUGGUGAGAAAUGUUAUCACACCGAAACAACUGAGUCAACAUUUAGUCACGUUGUCUGGCGUCCGUGCAGCGAUAAAGUGGGCGCCGUGAGCUCAAAAUCAUAACAGUGACACUUUUCCUAUGCCAUUGUUCCUGCUUUUUUCUUCCUCCAUCACGUCUCAUCUUUGGUGGAGUUUUUAAUUUUGUGGUCUCUCUCUUAAUUCUUAUUUGAAUUUUGUAUUGAGUCAGCCUAACACUCUUCCGUCGGCUAUUUAAAACGUCCUUCAUUUUCAUUUGACUCAGUUUGCUAAGCUGAGUUCUGACCUGCCGUGGUUCGUCUCAGACUAGGCCCAUUUAUUCUCAACAUUUCGUACGGACCUCGGUCCGGACGUAGCCUUCUGCCUGUACUCUGCGAUCAUUUUGUUUGUAUUUCUGCAUGUUUCCACAAAGCUUAUGGAUGCGGACCAAACGGAGCAAUACCACUGGAAACCAUGAGGGGCAGUGUUGCUGACACAAAGAACACAUAACAAUAACGGAAAUUCUCCAUCCUCCAGUGGCGAUAUAUUUAACUGCCUCACUGACUGCCUCCGACAAUGCUGCCUCAGGUUUCUCUUUUGUGGAGGUAGAGGCACAUCAUCAAUACUUCUUCCACGGACGUUUGUUUUGUUUGUUUGUUGUUGUCCUAACUUGUGUUUCAGUAACAGUGUAUACUUCUAAAUUAUAGAACUUACUUUUUGCUCCUUGCAAAACAAGCCCUGAAGUCAUAUCUGUUUUUGUGACGAAAUACUGGAUUGAAGACGCACAUCCAAGCUCACGGGGAAUGCUAUCACCUCAGGUAGCAAGAUGACGGUUACUUCAAAAAUCUCUUCUUCUGAAUUAUGUAACUUUUUUAAAAUGUCGAGGUGCAAAUUUUCUGGCGUCGCUCCCUUGUCAGCGAGGAAUCCACAGCUGAUACUGACGCUGAACCGAAGUUACCUUUGGGUCUGGCAGCGAGGCGGGAAAUGAUUUAGUGUGAAAAUGAUGAACUUCCAUCU